rnacentral:rRNA from 1 species
UACGGCGAGUGAAGCGGCAAAAGCUCAAAUUUGAAAUCUGGCACCUUCGGUGUCCGAGUUGUAAUUUGAAGAAGGUAACUUUGGAGUUGGCUCUUGUCUAUGUUCCUUGGAACAGGACGUCACAGAGGGUGAGAAUCCCGUGCGAUGAGAUGCCCAAUUCUAUGUAAAGUGCUUUCGAAGAGUCGAGUUGUUUGGGAAUGCAGCUCUAAGUGGGUGGUAAAUUCCAUCUAAAGCUAAAUAUUGGCGAGAGACCGAUAGCGAACAAGUACAGUGAUGGAAAGAUGAAAAGAACUUUGAAAAGAGAGUGAAAAAGUACGUGAAAUUGUUGAAAGGGAAGGGCUUGAGAUCAGACUUGGUAUUUUGCGAUCCUUUCCUUCUUGGUUGGGUUCCUCGCAGCUUACUGGGCCAGCAUCGGUUUGGAUGGUAGGAUAAUGACUAAGGAAUGUGGCUCUACUUCGGUGGAGUGUUAUAGCCUUGGUUGAUACUGCCUGUCUAGACCGAGGACUGCGUCUUUGACUAGGAUGUUGGCAUAAUGAUCUUAAGCCACCCGUCUUGA